rnacentral:rRNA from 1 species
AGAGUUUGAUCAUGGCUCAGAACGAACGCUGGCGGCACGCUUAACACAUGCAAGUCGAACGGAAUGGGGGGCUUGCUCCUCAUUUAGUGGCGCACGGGUGAGUAACGCGUGGAUAACCUGCCCUGGAAACCGGAAUAACAUUGCGAAAGCGGUGCUAAUACCGGAUAAGCCCAUGACUCUGCGGAGUUACGGGAAAAGGCGGCCUCUGAUGCAAGCUGCCGUUUCAGGAUGGGUCCGCGUCCUAUCAGCUAGUUGGCAGGGUAAUGGCCUACCAAGGCGACGACGGGUAGCUGGUCUGAGAGGACGGUCAGCCACACUGGAACUGAGACACGGUCCAGACUCCUACGGGAGGCAGCAGUGGGGAAUUUUGCGCAAUGGGCGAAAGCCUGACGCAGCGAUGCCGCGUGAGUGAUGAAGGCCUUCGGGUCGUAAAGCUCUGUCGAGGGGAAAGAAGUGUAUUUUGGUUAAUACCCUUAAUACUUGACGGUACCCCUAAAGGAAGCACCGGCUAACUCCGUGCCAGCAGCCGCGGUA